GAGUUUGAUCCUGGCUCAGAACGUACGCUGGCGGCACGCCUAACACAUGCAAGUCGAACGAAGUAGCAAUACUUAGUGGCAGACGGGUGAGUAACAUGUAGGUAUCUGCCCUUUGGCCUGGAAUAACACGAGGAAACUUGUGCUAAUACCGGAUAAGUCUUUACAGAGAAAGCUUUAUGCACCAUUGGAUGAGCCUGCACUUGAUUAGUUUGUUGGUGGGGUAAUGGCCUACCAAGACUGUGAUCAAUAGCUGAUUUGAGAGGAUGAUCAGCCACAUUGGGACUGAGACACGGCCCAAACUCCUACGGGAGGCAGCAGUGGGGAAUCUUGCACAAUGGAGGAAACUCUGAUGCAGCGAUGCCGCGUGAGUGAAGAAGGCCUUUGGGUUGUAAAGCUCUUUCGUCGGGGAAGAAAAUGACUGUACCCGAAUAAGAAGGUCCGGCUAACUUCGUGCCAGCAGCCGCGGUAAUACGAAGGGACCUAGCGUAGUUCGGAAUUACUGGGCUUAAAGAGUUCGUAGGUGGUUGAAAAAGUUGGUGGUGAAAUCCCAGAGCUUAACUCUGGAACUGCCAUCAAAACUUUUCAGCUAGAGUAUGAUAGAGGAAAGCAGA
rnacentral:rRNA from 1 species